CACAGAGCCGGGAGCUGAGCUCCUUUUGCCACACUGCAGCUUCCCGCAGCCGUCUGUCUUUUCACAUGGCGGUGUGUAUAUGUCCAUCGAAGAGUUGACUCAUUGGAAAGGACUCUGAUGCUGGGAGGGAUUGGGGGCAGGAGGAGAAGGGGACGACAGAGGAUGAGAUGGCUGGAUGGCAUCACUGACUGGAUGAACGUUACCAUUGUUACUCCAAAGAGAACUCCCAGAAUUAGGCUAUUUAUCAUUUGAAAUUGUAGCCCCGAAAGAUCAAAACUCCGUCUCCUUGGCUCUUUGACAACCUGCGCAGAACUGAGGCUGUAACCAGGACAUCUGUACCAGGCCCCAGCCAUUUGGUACAUCACCCACAACCAUCCCUUUAAGUGAGGUUGCCCAGGCCACCACCCUUACGUGAAUGGAAGCCCACCUUGUAUCACUCGGGCCCCGUGUUCAUCACAGCUAAAUGGACCUGGAGACAGCACCUGACAUCAGAUGAACCCCUCCGUGUGCUGGCCUGUGGCCUGUGACAUGCUGUGACACUCGAUAGCUUCUCAGGGAGCUGAACUGAGGCAUGGAAAGGCCUUGACAGUUACCAGUGGGCACUGACCACGCCAAGUUUCCAUCAGGUAGUGCUGGAUUCCAAUAGAGUCCAAGGCAGGCUGACAUUAGGUCAUAUAGAAGACAGAGGUGCAGGAUUAGAAA
ensembl:lncRNA